UCUUCUCCCUAACCCUCCCCUUCUCUUCUCCUUUCAUCCUUGGCCAUUGUUGGCAGCCUAAAGGCUGAUUUUGGAGGUUUUCUUGGGCUUGUUUGUGGAGCUUAAAGAUUAAUCAAUUGCCUCUUCAAGAACAAGAAGCAUUGGCUAGAGGUAAAGGAUUAGCCGAGGAUUUUCUUGCAAGGAAGAGAAUCGCCAUUUUUUAGGCAGUCUUCACGGCUAGCUUAUUGAAGUGGCGUGCUAACUGGCUGAUUACUACGAGGGCCAGUUCAGGUGGGAGUGUAGAACUCUAGAUGGAUAUUCAUCGGUUAGCCAGAGUCACCAACCGGUGAACCGAUGGGUCAACGUUAAGGGCCUGAGUACCUUGACGGCCCCGAACCCAUCCACUGCCACGGCAAAGGUUUAGGGAUGCUUCUAGACCACCUUAUGUUGGGUGUCAAUUCAGUGAAGUGAUGCGAACGUGGAGUGCAUGGCAAGAGUUGGUUUUAGAGUAGUUACUUGAGUUAAUUGUGCAUGUUCUCAGUUAUUGCCAUGUAGAGUGUGGAAUCCUUUAAUAUAAGUAACUUGUUAACUUAUGUAUUCAUUUCUGUAUCUUAAGAACCCUUGUAUUAGUUGUGGUCUAAGUGUUGCAUGAGAAACCAUACUCAAUGUUUGGUUUGUAUUAAAAUCUUGUAUUUUGAAGUGUGAGCACUAUGUCCCCUAUCCUUAGUUUGUCAAGUUAGUCUUGUGCAGA